UCUGCUUGAAAGCAGAGAUCCUUUCCAGUCGAGCCUUGAGAUGACCAUAGCCCCAACUGACACCUUGAUCACAGCCUCCGUGGGAGACCCUGAACUAGAGCCUUCCAAUAAGCUGCUCUCAACUUCUUGAGCUGCGGAAACUGUAAGAGAAUCCAUUUGUUGUUUACCGCUGCUAAGUUUGGGAGCUGACCUGUAAGUCACCUAUAGACAUCCGGCUGCCUUCAGCUUGUCUCUAGCUCCUGCCACACGAGCAUAGCUUCUGGGGUCUGGCAACACCACCUCCUCCCACAGCCCCCUAGUCCUACGGGUAGUGGCACCUUCCUACUGUGGCUAAUGUCUGUGUUGCCUGCAGGCCUUUCCUCGCCUUCCUACCCUCUGACCCAUGUAUCCAGCUGCUGGUGUUAACCCCCUGUGUUUUAAAUACCUAGAGUGGUUUCUGUUUCCAGCAUUGCAGGGUAAAGCAGUUCAUCUUCUGUGACACGUAGCCUCACUUGAGCCUUCACGAGUCUGUUUAGAGAAAGAAAAAAAUUAGCGUGGGACCAAGAGUCUUGUAGGUCCUAGAAUCAGUCUUCAGAAAUAAAAUAGGCCAAGACAGAAAGCCACCCGCUGAGCUACCAGGUCGCACACCACAGUUCCGAAAGGCGAUGACAGGGUGACGGAGCAGCCCUCCUCACCACUCCGGUCCACGGCAAGCAUUUGGAGCAGGAGGAAAAGCCUGCGAUUCCCUCUCCCCUGCUUCUGGCACCUUCUCCCUUCCUCCUGUGUUAUUUCAUGGACCAGCACCUCCAAAGCCACCCCCCGGGCUCUGACGGAGGAAUUGGCAGGUUCCUCUGACACAGGCGGGCUCCGCAGCAGGCCGCGCUCCGAGAGGUGAUGAAUUGCCUCGGGGUGACCGUGCCCCCCUCAGCAGCGCGGACACCCAGCUGACGGAGGGACGGAGAGGACGCUGGCAAGAGGCAGGCCUGCUGUCAGAAACCCUCCGCGGAGUUUGCUUCCGAGCGCCCAGUCUGAGCAGAGAGAAGGGGUGGGCAAACGAGGGAAAUUAGGAAUGAAAUGGCUAGGAGGAUUAGAAGAUUGAUUUCACUCGCGCUGCAACUGUCAGCUGUUCGGGGAAUCUGGGCCAAGGCCUCAGCCAGAGCUGGAGAGAAGUUCAAGAACAAUGGCUCGUAAGAAAGACAGUUCCCCUCUACAGACCGCUGCUGCUUUCUCUUGCUGGAAGAGAUUUCACCAAGCAGCUCGGAACUGACGCUCAUCAUUUACAUCUUCAUUAAAUAUUAAUUUGAUCCCCUGUAAUUGUUCAUUACUUUUCAAUCUGGGCCG
rnacentral:lncRNA from 12 species